AUAAAUCAUAAAUAAAAAGAAAAAGAAAACACUUACCUGACGAUUUGCGUUCCUCCACCGAGAGAGGUUGAGGUCGCCACCUCCGAUGAAAGGUGGAUCUGACAAGAAGUUCUUUAAAACUCAAAAACUAAAGGAUUUCUUUGAGAUUUCUGUGAUUUGGUGGGUUUUUUUGGAAAAAACGAUCUCAGAUUUAGGCUCAGGGAGCUAAAACGAUCAAAAAGGGGGUUUUUUUAUAUUUUUUUGGCAACCGUGGACAGCGGAGCUAUCGCUCGCGACCGGCGGCCGUCUCGGAAGCUCGUCGGACUAGUGGCCAAAUUAUGGGUUGCUUUCAGAGAAAAAAAAAGACAGAAAGAGGUUUUUGUUUUUUAAAAUACUGAUGAAAUGAUUUUUUUUAGGAUUUUUUUUACUUAAAUAGGGGGUUAAAAAGGCGUCGUUUUGGCUUGAGCCCGUAAACCCCAAAAUGGUGUCGUUUUAGAAUCCGACUAGCCAACCCGACCCGACCCUAGCAAGGAUCCGCUUUUUUUUAAUGGGGGUCUAAUUACGUCCCUGUCCUUCCACUUUUUCUUUGUUUUUCACUGUGGUCCUAAUUUCUUUAUUUUUUCUUUUUAGAUUGCACCAUUAAUUUCAAAUAUCUUUCAAUUUAGUCCUCAAACCAUUGACCCCCUGGGGAAGAACACAUGUCUAGGAGUUUUCCCAUUUAGUCCCUGCUUAUUUUAGCGUGUUUCAUUUUGCUCCCCUAUUCUGUUUUUUUAUUUUUACAAUUUACACCCCUAAAUUUCAUUUAACUUUUGAUUUAGUCCUUAUUUAUUUAUUUUAUUAAAAUUUAGCCCCUUUUAUUAUUUAUUUUAUUCCAAUUUAUCCUUUUAAUUUCAUUUAAGUUAUGAUUUAGUCCUUUAUUUUUCACCCUUUUGUAAACUAUUUC
rnacentral:lncRNA from 1 species